rnacentral:lncRNA from 1 species
CACAUAUAACAUCUGUAAAUGUACAUAUGUAUACUUGUACAUAUAUGUAUGUGUAUAUAUAAAUAUGUACAUACAUAUAUACAUAUAUAUAUACAUAUGUAAUGUGUGCGUGUGUAUGUAUAUAAUAUAUUUAGAUAAAAAUACAGUGGUAUCACAUGUUAUUUAUAAAGAAAGACGGGAAUUCUUUUUUUCCAAAGUACUAUUUAAUAUGUAUGAGAAUUACUCUUAAUCACUUAUCACCACACUAGCAUGUGCAUUCCAAUGUACAGGAUACAAUCGCUUUUUUAUUCAUACAGGAAAACCUGGUGAUAUAAUAUAUAUAUAUAUAUAUAUAUAUAUAUAUAUAUAUAUAUAUAUAUAUAUAUAUAUGUUAAUGUAUGUAUAUGUAUACAUAUAUACACAUAUGUAUGUAUUUAUGUAUGUAAGUAUACAUAUAUAUAUACAUAUGCAUGUAUUUAUAUAUAUAUAUUAUGCAUUUGUAUGUGUGUGUGUGUCAACAUUUGUAAUAAAAUAAUAGACUAGUUAUAAACAAAAUCUGCAAAUGGAAGCUUUUUCGAAACAGAUAAUCCCCAUUUCUCAAUUGGUCCUCAGUCAUACUUACCUUGUUUUGUAUGGAAAAUAUCAACUUGAGUCUGAUUGAACUGACGGAUCUUUGUUCUCUAGGCUACAAUCUGAAACACAUAAACACAAUAUUUAAGACACACAAUGACAAACAGAUGAAUUAUUUCGAAAAAUUCCCCUAUAGAAAAUAUGUGGCUAACUUUUCAAAACAUAUUCAAGUUUGUAAUAAUGGUAAAUAAACUAAUUUUGUAGGUAUAUAAAAUUAAAAAAAAAAAUGUUCCCUUAUAUGAUUUGAGUAUAUAAAAUCUGUGAUACCAGUUUGAUUCAUGGUUUCAGAGUUUCACUCUUCUACGCAUAUUCGUAUCUCAUAGUCCAUAACAGCUUUUGCCCUGUAGUCCAUAAAACAAUGACCUACAUUAAGAAUUAUGAAACUAAAAAUUCAGAAUUUCAGAAAAUAAUAAAUUUCAAAGAGACAAAAGAAACAAUCACCAAUGUAAAGUAAAAAUGAAAACAUAUAUAAAAUGAAAAUAUGGAAAUUGAGAUAAAAAUCAAUAUUAAACAAAGAAAUUAGAAUUGUAAAAACUGAAAUUAGUCUUAAAUGCGCAAAUAUUUCGUCAAUAUUAAUGCUAAGCUUUCAAGAUACAAUCCACAUACGACCAACUUUAUGUCAGAAUUCUGCUAAUAAAACGUUUUUAGAAUGAUUGAAAUUGCAUUCAUCUAGAUAUCAUUUUAUAAAAAAAUUAUCCAUAAAAUUAAUACUAUCUAUCAAUAAAAAUGAGCUAUGAACGUUUAAAUGUUUUUAUUGGCGGAUUUGGUACUCGGUUAGAGAUAUGCAACAGAUAAGUAAAGUUUAUAUAAUUCUUAGGUUUGUUCACAGUUUAGGAUACAAAUAGCUGCGGUAAUAUGAAAUUAAUUCUCAGAUACAAAAAUAAAUGAAUAAAUAAAAUAAAAAAAUCACAAAGAACUGGGCCAGAAAAAAUAUCUACAGUUAAUUUACGAAGAAUAUGCACUUAUAUUAUUGUGAAACUUAAAAUACGGAAGUAA